AGAGAUCCACACUCCAGGGGACAGGCUCUGAGACCAGCUUCAUGGCCUCUGCUCCGCCCUCUCCCGCUCCCACGCUCCUAAGGCAAUUCCGAGCUGGUGCCUGAGGAUGCUGAGGGGAGAGACAACUGUGGGGCUCUUUCUUUUGGGAAAGGGAAGCUCAGGGUGUUCUGCUUCCCUCCGCUAGGAAGCUGGACCCACAGCUGUGAAGAUGCAUAGCCAGCAAUCCCAGGGGGAGAGGUGAGCCCCCAAAUCCUCUCCUCAUCGGUAGAUUCUCCGAGAUCCCUGGUGUGCAGAUGAGAACUCAUCACAGAAAUAUGUGUAUCUGUACAGAGAACUCGCUCAACUUCAGAAGCCAAACAGCAUCUGGUUACAAGAGAUUACUCAGGAGAGCCUCAGGAAGGUCCUUCAGAAGGGAUUCCACAGGAAGGCACUGUUGUCACAGGAGAUGACAACUCCAGGCAUGUUACUCUCCCUGAAGACUUUCCAGUGGGACAAGAUGUGGAGGUGGAAGACAAUGAUACCGAUGAUCCUGACCCUUUUUUUGCUAAGAAAUAUCCACCAGGAAUGUGCACUAUACGUGGAAAUACAAACACAAACCGGAGCUGAGAAGGGCCUGGGUCCCCUGACAUCAAGGUUUUUAUAAAGAAAAAUACACAAAGGCAGCCACGCCUCACUCUGGCUUCCUAGUAACCCCAGAAAAAAAUUCCAGAAAUGUGUUUUAAUUCUUUAGCCUGAGUGACAAAAAGGUUAAAAUGUUUCCCAAAGUCCACUUAAGAAUAAUUCCGACCUUGGGAAAAUGGAUUUUGUUAGCCCCAAAGCUUAUUAAGAUUAAUGGCAAGAGGGGCUCGUUAUUCUGCCAGAAAAAUCUACUUACAAAUCUAAGAGGGGGAUUUUAUUCUGUCCAUUUCUAAAAGCAGGGGACUUAGAGUGCCUGACAAGUACCCCCUAGGAAGAGGGUGUGCCAUAUACAGACAGCAGGGGUGCAUGACUGGGAUGCUCACUUGGAGAGGUAUUGGCUAGGCCAGGAAAAAGGGUUCCUUUAUGGGACUUCCUAUAUAGAGAGGUCACCCUGCUCUCACUUCUGAAACCUACCACCCUGGCCACACAACUAGGUUUUAUGGAGCCCAGAAAGAUAUUCAGAAACUGGAGCCUUAUUCAGCGUGUAAAAAGCUCUCAUGCCUGUUGGCCUUGUUGCUGCUCCACAACAGGGGACUGUGGCUUAUUCAAGUGCUCAGCCAUCACAAUGACCCCACCACCUCUUUCACGACAACCCCACCACCUCUUGGCCCUGCAGCCCCAGCUUCAGACACUGCUGACCAACUGACUCUUCCCAUGCCUUGAAUGGAAACUCACAGGCAGGAUCCCGGCAAUUUGCUUAUGCACCACGAAGUGCCAGGUAUCUCUGUGGGGCGGCACCCGUGGGCUGGCUGCUUUUCAGGUGCAAGAUGGAUGGCAGAAUUUUGGCAAAGUGCUCAGCCCUGGCUAUCUUGGCAAGGCAGAGCACAGAAGCCUGUUGCUGAGAGACCGGAAUUCCCAGACUCAGAGAUGACUAGACAAGGACUCUGGCUUUGAUUAUCAGCUCAUGGAAUUGGUGGAAGGCAAAUAGACAGGAAGCCUUCAGGUUUUUAAGGAAUUUGGUUCAGUCCAAGAAACCCAAGCCUGGCUGACAACAGCCUGUGAUUCUUCAAUCCCUGAGGUAAUUUCCAGGCCCCUCAAAUUUGCACCAAAAAGUAAUGGGCUUCAAAGAAGUACAGAUCCCAAAAAGGGCAUAUGUGCCAAUAUCUAUCUCAGAUGGGCUAAGAGGACAACGGACAAGGGAGACGUUUCCAGACAGCACAUCUAGGAUUUGUCAGAUUGGCUAACCAAGGAACUCACUGCAUUACCAAGGCAAGAACACUUCACUGUUCCUGUCAAGCAGGGAAAAAUACAUACAGUGAAUCAGAGACCACUGUGUACUGUUUUCUCAUUGUCUAUUUCUUCCAAUAAAAGUUUUCCUUGAAGCUAUCCUCCACCAUUUUAUAUUUACUGGGUUAUCAUAGAAAGGAAAACAGGCUUAGCUGUUGCAACGAAGAGACCUAAAACUACAGUGGCUCAAAGAAGACAGAAAGAAAUUUAUUUCUUAAGUGCUAGAGCGGCACUGUCUAAUAGAAAUAUAAGGCAAGUCUCAUUUGUAAUUUGAAAUUCUCUAGUAGCCACACUGGAAAAAAUAAGCAGUGAAAUUAAUUUUUGAUAAUAUAUUUCUUUUAACUAAUAUAUCCAAAAUAUUUUCAUUUCAGCAUGUAAUUGAUAUAAAAUACUAUUGAUAUAUUUUGCAUUCUUUUUUGGGAGGGACUAAAUUAUAGCCCAUGUCAAUUCAGACUAGUCCCAUUUCGGGAGCUCAAACGCCACAUGUAGCUGGUGGCUACCAUAUUGGGCAGUGCAGAGUAGAGAUCAGAGAGAGUCCCUAAACAGUUCUUUCCAGGGUUAGCCAGGAACUCACAAUGCUUCGAUUUCAUUAUUCCACUUUCCUUAGAGCAGGAUUUCUCAAGCUCAGCAAUAUUGACUUUUGAGGCCUGAUAAAGCUGUGCUGUUGGGACUAUCUAGUGCAUAGUAGGAUGUUUAGAGUGAGCCUGUUCCAUACCUGCUAGAUGGAAGUAGCAGUACCUUCCUGUCCCUCCACAUUGUGACAAUCAAAAAUACUGCCAAAUGUUGGAGGGUAUAGGGCCAAAAAUCACCCCAACAGUGGUUCUCAAACUUCUGUGUGUAUGCCCUGGAGAGCUUAUUAAGACAGAAGUUUCUGGGCCCCACUGCCAUAAUUCCUGACUCACCAGUUCUGGAGUAGGACCUGAAAAUAUGCCUUUCCAGUGAGCUCCCUGGACUGCUGGUCCAGGACCCUUUUCAAAAACCACUGGCCUGGGUUGUUAUGCUCUUUAGCCCACCUUGCUCACCACCACAUGGCAUUCUCAUUCCCAGGAAGGGGAACAGACAAGAGAGGACAAAUGAUAUGUUUUAAGGCUAUAAAGGAGAAGUGGCACGUUUGACUUUUGUUCAUAUCCCUUUGUUGUGAAUUUGGAUUCAUGGCCACAUCUAAUGUCAAGAAGUCUAGGAAAUGUGGUGUCUAGCUGGGUGGCCAUGUGCUUGGUUGAAAAUCAGGAGUUCUGUUACUAAAGGGAGGAUUGGGAGAUUAGAUAAUGAGGGGAAAAUUGCAGGUUUUUCCACAGGAGUGGGUAACAUUAUUUAGCUAUAUCAGACUAUGAAAAACUCCAUCCAGAAACUGACCUAGAAGAAGACACAUCAGCUGCAAAUCCAGAAUCUGGAACUCAAAAUGAGAGCUGCUUGUGAUUCCAGUAGGCAUGAACUUUUGAAGAUGUACAUAAGGAAAGAAAGGAGUGUGAGACAUGGGAAGAAGACAGAGGAGUGGAUUUGUCAGUGGAAUGUCUUCCCCCCAUUCCUUCCCCCAUUCCUAAUAAGACAAGAAACUCCCCAGAUUCGUGAUUUUCGCAAUUUUAACUCCACUUCUCCAGCUCCAGAGAUUGGCCCUGAUUGGUCUAAGCCAAUCAAGGAAUCAGAUUUCCCUAGUCACACUGAUAGGUUCAGGGAUGAACCCAUGACUUAAACUAGUCCAACCAGAGGGAAGAUCAUAAUUACCAUUUGGUGUUUGGGACAACAGAAACUAUUUUUCUCCUUGGAUAUUAAUGAGGAAACUAGUCCUGGAGCAGCUGGCAGCCAUGUGACAUGAAAGAAGCCAACCCAAGAUUAAGCCAAAAUAUGAAACUGGGCAAAACCAAGAGUAUUCCAGGAAAACGGGCAUACAGCCCUGGUGAUAUGCAGAACCUCUGGACCAAACCAUGCCUGAUGCUGCACCUCUGGAAUUUUCAACUAAAUGAGCUAAGAAAUUUCUUACAUUGUUUCAAUCCAUUUGGUUUAAGCUUCUGUCACUUGUAACCAAAAGUAUUCCCAGUAACAGUUGAGCUGAAUAUGUUUCUUCUUGAUACCUAAAAAUUCCUCAUAAAGGCAAGGCAGGUUUAUCUCCUGAACACCUAGCAUAAGCAUCUCAUUGUGUGAGCCCUUGGCAUACACUAGCUCAUGUCAGUCUCACAAUAACCCUGGAGGUAACUAUAAAUCAGGAAAUUGAGGCUCAAAAAGAUUAGCUAAUGUUCCCAAUGUCACUCUGAGAAUAAGUGGCUGGCCUGAUAAUUGAGCUCGUCUGACUCUAAGUCCAGUGCUCUUUGUACAUCUUUGGCCUCAUAUGUUAUUUUUUGAAACAUGUAUAUAAAUAACAAAGGUUUAUAUGUUUACUCAAAUUCCACGUGGAAAACCGUUCUGACUUUUGAAAAUCUGAUUCAUUGAUCAAAAACACAUGUAGAAUAUUAGUUAGAAGGUGGUGUAGACUGUAGUAGGGUUUUAUAGGCAUCUUGGGCAGGUCCUUCAGAGUAAUUGGGAUGUGGAAUGUGGAAGUCAUUUUUAUGGGAGAGUUGGGACGUGGCCUCCUGUAGGCAGCCUCAGGCAAAAGAGUGAGUAUAUCAAGAACAAAAAUCACAUUGAACCUGGUGAUAAGGUUCAUGAGGAUGUUAAUUAAAAGAAAUCUCAUAUUUCAAGGCUGUAUUGGUGAUAUAAUUUCAAGCAAUGGCAUAUGACUAACACACAACAGAACCUAUAAGGUUUUGCCCCAAGAUGUCAGUAUUCUUUUGAAAAUGGUACAUAUGGUUUAUAAAUUGUCCAUAGAAUUCCUCUCUAGUUCACCUACAUUAUUACAAUGCUUGCUCUGCUUCUCCUCAAAUACUCUGCUUCAGCCACAAGAAGUAGAAAGAUGACUAUAUUACAUUUUGCUUGAUGAUGAUAAAGUUUGGCUAACUGCACUAUUUUAGCCAAAUCAAAGGCCCUUUUUUGUGUGUUAUUCAAAAUAAUUACAGGCAUACCUCAUUUUAUUGUGCUUCACUUUACUGUGCUUCACAGAUACUACAUUUUUUUUACAAAUUGAAAGUUUGUGGCAACCUGGCCUUCAGCAAGUCUGUCAGCACCAUUUUUCCCAACAGCAUGCACUCAGUUUGUGUACUAUGUCACAUUUGAGUAAUUCUUACAAUAUUUCAAACUUUUUCAUUAUUAUUAUAUCUGUUAUGAUGACCUGUGAUCAGUGAUCUUUGAUGUUACUAUUUUAAUUGUUUGGGGGUGCCACAAACCCUACCCAUAUAAGAUGAUGAACUUAACCAAUCUGUGGUGUGUGUGUUCUCACUGCUUCACUGACCAGGUGUUCCUUUGUCUCUCUCCCUCUUCUUGGGCCUCUCUAUUCCCUGAGACACAAUAGUAUUGAAAUUAAGCCAAUUAAUAACUCUACAGUGACCUCUAAGUGUUCAAGUGAAAGGAAGAGUCACUUUAAAGGUCUCUCACUUUAAAUCAAAAGCUACAAAAGGAUUAAACUUAGUGAGGAAGGCAUGUAGAAAGCUGAGACAGGCUGAAAGCUAGCCGUCUUGUGCCAAACAGUUAGAGCCAAGUUGUGAAUGCAAAGGAAAAAUUCUUGAAGGAAAUUAAAAGUGCUACUCCAGAGAAUACACAAAUGAUAAGAAGGUGAAACAGCUUUAUUGCUGAUAUGGAGAAAGUUUGAGUGGUCUGGAUAGAAGAUUAAAGCAGCCACAACAUUCCCUUAAGUCAAAGCCUAAUCUAGAGUAAGGCCUAAGUCUCUUCAAUUCUAUGAAGGCCGACAGAGGUAAGGAAGCUGCAGAAGAAAAGUGUAAGCUAGCCAAACUUGGUUCAUGAGGUUUACGAAAAGAAGCCAUCUCCAUAAUAUAAAAAUACAAGGUGAAGCAGCAAGUGCUGAUGAAGAGGCUGCAGCAAGUUAUCCAGAAGAUCUUGCUAAGAUCAUUGAUAAAGGUAACUAUUCUAAAUAAUAGAUUUUCAACAUAGGCAAAACAGCCCUCUAUUGGAAGAAGGUGCAAACUAAGACUUUUCGUGGCUAGAGAGGAGAAUUCAAUGCCUGGCUUUAAAGCUUCCAAGGACAGGCUGACUUUCUUGUUAGGGGCUAAUGCUGGUGACUUUAAGUUGAAGCCAAUGCUCUUUGGACCAUUCCAAAAAUCUUAGGUCUCCUAAGAAUGAUGCUACAUUUACUCUGUCUGUGCUCUAUAAAUGAAAGAACAAAACCUGGAUCACAACACAUCUGUUUACAGUAUGGUUUGCUGAAUAUUUUAAGCUUACUCUUGAGACCUACUUCUCAGAAAAAAAGAUUCCCUUCAAAUGUUUAUUGACAAUUCACAUAGUCACCCAAGAGCUCUCAUGGAGAUUAAUGUUGUAGAUGGAGAUUAAUGACGUGCAAGGAGGUUAAUAUUGUUUUCAUGCUUGCUACACAUGUCCAUUCUGCAACCCAUGGAUCAAGGAGUAAUUCUGAUUUUCAAAUGUUACUAUUUAAAAAAUGCGUUCUAUAAGGCUAUAGCAGCUAUAGAGUCAUUCCUCUGAUGGAUCUCAGCAAAGUACAUUAAAAGCCUCUAGAAAGGAUUCACCAUUUUACAUGCCAUUAAGAACAUUCAUAAUUCAUGGGAGGAGGUCAAAAUAUUCUCAUUAACAAAAGCUUGGAAGAAGUUGAUUCCAACCCUCAUGGAUGACUUUGAGGGAUUCAAGAUUUCAGUAGAGGAAAUCAUUUCAGAUGUGGUGGAGAAAGCAAAAGAACUAAAAUUAGAAGUAGAACUUGAAGAUGUGUUCAGAUUUCUGCAAUCUCGUGAGAAAACUUGAAGGGAUGAGAGUUGCUUCUUAUGAAUGAGCAAAGAAAGUGUCUUCUUGAGAUGGACUCUACUCCUGGUGAAGAUGCCGUGAGCAUUGUUGAGAUGACAACAAAGGAUUUAAACUAAGUUGACAAAGUAGUGGCAGAGUUUGAGAGGAUUUAUUCCAAUAUUGUAGGAAGCUGUACUGUGGGUAAAAUGGCAUCAAACAGCAUCACAUACUAGAGAGAAAUAUUUCAAUCAUCGAAGAGUCAAUUGAUGUGACCAACUUCAUUGUUAUUGUAUUUUAAGAAACAAGGCUAGGCACGGUGGCUCACGCCUGUUAUCCCAGCACUUUGGGAGGCCGAGGCGGGCAGAUCACUUGAGGUCAAGAGUUCGAGACCAGCCUGGCCAACGUGGUGAAACCCCAUCUCUACCGAAAUUACAAAAAUCAGCUGGGCAUAAUGGCGUGCACCUAUAAUCGCAGCUACUUGGGAGGAUAAGGCAGGAGAAUCACUUGCACCUGGGAGGCGGAGGUUACAGUGAGCCAAGAUCGCACCACUGCAAUCCAGCCUGGGCAACAGAGCAAGCCUCUGUCUCAAAAAAAAAGAGAGACUGUCACAGCCACUCCACCCUUCAGCAACCACCACCCACAGUCAGCAGCCAUGAACAUCAAGGCAAGAUCCUCCAACCAACAAAAAGAUUAUUACUCAAUGAAGGCUCACAUGAUUGUUAGCGUUUUUAAGCAAUAAGGUACUUUUCAAUUAAGGUAUGUACAUUGUUGUUUUAAGUAUAAUGCUAUUGUAAACUUAAUAGACUAUAGUACAGUGUAAACAUAAUUUUAUAUGCAUCGAGAAAUCCAAAAAUUCAGCUGGGUGUGAUGGCUCACGACUUAAUCCCAGCACUUUGGGAGGCCAAAGCAGGAGGAUCACUUGAGGGCAGUAGUUUGAGACCAGCCUAGGCAACAUAGCAAGACCAUAUCUCGACCCCCCCGCUGCCAACAUUUUUUCAAUUAGCCAGGUGUAGUGGCAUUCACCUGUAGUCCCAGCUACUUGGGAGGCUGAGGGAGGAGGAUCUCUUGAGCCCAGGAGUUUGAAGCUGCAGUGAGCUAUGAUUGCGCCACUAUACUCCAAAUUGGGCAACAGAAUGAGACCUUGUUUCAAAAUAAAAUAAAAUAAAAUAAUCUAAAAAAGAAACAAAAAAUUCAAGUGACUCACUUUGUUGUAACACUCACUUUAUUGUGAUCUAGAACCAAACCACAAUAUAUGCAAGGUAUGUCUGUAUUCUCUUGGCGGGAUGAGAAAUAAGAAGUUCAUUUUUAUAUCCACAGUAACUCAUACACUGGGAUUGCUCUUGAAAUUUAUUCUUUAAAUUGAAAUAAAUACCUGCUCUAUCUCCUAAAAAGCAGAAAAAAAACACAUGCGCUUACCCUCACUCCAUAUUUUUCCAACUGUCAGUCCCAUUUUCCUUCAGAAAGUUUAUGUCAAAAAUGUUCUCAAAGCCCCCAAAUUCAGCUUGAGAAAAUACAGCUUCACCAAUGUUAGUCUAAUGAUAAAAGUAGUUGAGAACUCAGCUUGGUCCAGAAGCCCAUUUGCAAGAAGCUGCUUUUACCACCUAAACAUGAAUGUAAUUAUGUCUAUAAAUAAAUACUAAAAUGUCAAUAAAAGAGGUUUGCUGGGAUCCUCUAAUAUCAGGUACUAGCUAUCAAGUAUAUUUAAUGCCCUUACCAUUUAAUUUGUAUUCUUAAUUUGUCUCUUAUGAAGUAAAAAGUAUCUUUUAAAAAAUCUUCACCCAGAUUUUAACAUUCUGUUUAAAAAGUUUCCUAUGUAAUUAUGUUAUUUUCCUCCAUGGAAGGGAUUAUUGAAAAUUUAGAUGUUCACUAGACCCAGUUCCCCUUCAUGGAUACUCAGCUAAACCACAUUUUCCAUCUCCCUUGCAUCAAAGUGAUGCCACAUGGCCAAUCUUCACCACAGGUAUAUGAGUCCGAGUAGUGUGCCCCUACUAGAUGGAGGCAACUGGGGUCAGACAGUCCUUCCCUGCACACUCUUUUUUCAUUUGUUGGCCAAUCAGAUGCAGAAUACCCAGCAGAGGACUCUGAGGCGUAAGUGGCCAAAGGGGCCACUAAAAACAAAAAGAUCCGGGUCCCUGGAUGACAACGUGGAGCAAAACACCCCACCCACUCCAACCCCAGCUGAUCCACAUUGGACUGGGACAUAAACAAGAAGUGUACCUUUGUCAGAUUAAGUCACUGAAAUCUGGGCACUGUUUGUUACAGUAUUACCUAAAUAGACCGAUUCGUUGCCCUGUGAAAUAGUGGUUAAAUAUUGUCUAGUGUCUUUGGAAGGCCAAAAACUUGCACAGCACCAAGUAACUGAGCAAAUCCAUGGCUCUAAUAGUCUGAACCCUUGUUCAGACUGACAAGUCUGACACUUAGCCCUUGAGUUCAUCCUGCUUUGCAUUAGCUCCUCAUCUCAACUGCAAGCACCAGGGAAACAAAGUUCUUAUUUUACCUUCAAUUUUACACUGCCUACUGCAACUAGUACAUUUUGAAUAGUUAAUCAUAGUGAUUAAUUAAUGAAAUGUUUUAAGAGCCUGCUUAUUUUUGGUUAGAAAGGAUCUGGGAUGGAAAAAUGAAAGUAGCAUUUGCUGAAACUCUAUUGAAUGCUUGGUGCCUUGUAAGUUCUAACCCAGAUGUCUCUGGAUAUUGUCACCUUAAGCCUCGCAUGCCACACCAGGGGAAGUCCAAAGCCUUCUCUGUAAAUUUCUAGGGAAACUAACCCUCCCAUGAUCAUCUGUAGCUCCGAUUUCCAUGCCCUGCUGCAUCUAUUCAGUUUGUGGAUCAUCCUUCUAUAUCAUACAUCCUCCAUCUGGCCCACCUCCUGACAACUCAAGCAUGAAGUUCAACCUCUCCAGUUUCUACCACACACAUGCAUAUGUAUAGACACACAUGCUUGCUCUCUCACUCUCUUUCUCUCUCUCUCUCAAAUGCUAUUCAUGUGUGUGAUACACUUGACCAAGGAUUUAGCCAAAGGAGAGAUGGUUGCAUCCUAGCAAAUCAUCUAAUUUAAAUAUUAUCCUUCCUAUUCUUCAAGGCUCUGUGGCUCUGGCCAUCAGACAUUUUUCGGGGGUCCUUCUUACAACUUCAGCUUCAGGUCACCUCAGUAACUUCUUUCACACACUUUCCUCUUAUCUUCCUUCUCAUCCCUUUCCUUCCAGGUAGCCCCAAUGCACCCCCAAUUCAUAUUCUUUUCACUCCAUUAUAGAAAGGGUCCAGCUUACCCUGGAUCCUACUGCCUAAGGCUCUAGGCACACACUUGCAUAUAUUAACAGAGACCCAGCUGACCCAAAAAAACUUCCCUUCAAUGAAAAGCAGGCUUCCUAGAAAGUCACUGUGGCUUAAUUUUUUUUCUUCCUCCAUUACACACACAGAUGCAUACAAUAAUAAAACAUUCGCCUCCACAUUGCUAAAUCCAAUGGUCAAUAUUCAGAUCUCAUCCUACUUGACUUCUCAAUAGCAUUUGACUCUAGUGGGUCACUCCCUCCCCUCUGAACACUUUCUUCAUUGGACUUCCAGGAUAACAUACCCACCUGGUUUUCCUCCUACCUUCCUGGCUGCCAGACUUCUUUGCUGGCAUCCCCUACCAUCCCAACCUCUACUAAAUGUCGGUUUUGGGAUCUAAUCUGUUUCUAAAUCUACAUUUACCAAAAUUAGACAAGAUGUUACUCCAUCCAGUCUCACAGCUUUAAAUAUCAUCCCUUUGCAGACAAUUCCCAAACAUAUAUCUUCAUUACAGAUCCCUCUCCUAAACUUUGGAUUUAUUUAUCUAACUGCCAUUGUAUGUCUUUACUUGGCAUCUUAAAUUUAGGAAGUCCAGAAACAAAGUCCUGAUUUCCACUCCAUGUGACAGACUGACUUCUCCCCAAACCUUCCCCCUCUCAGUAAACGGCAACUCCAUCCUUCCUGUUGUUCACUCACCUUUGAGUCCUCUUUCUUUAAUACCCCACAUCCACGCCAGUAGCAAAUCAGCUUUACCUUGAAAAUACGUAAAGAACCCAACCAUUCCUCUCCACUUUCACUAAUACCACCCUGGCUCAAACACUAGACUUUCUUAUCUAACUGGUCUCCCUAGUUCUUCCCUGAUUAAGAUUAAUCAUUCUAUUCUGAACACAGCAGCCACAGUGGUCCUGUUAAAAUGCAUGUCACUUAUCUAUCUAAAACUCUCCUCAACUCAGACUAAAGGUCCUUACAGUGACCCAUAAAACCCUACAUGAUCUUAUCACUGUCACCAAACCUCAUUGAUUGCUACCCUCCACCCCUACCCCUUCUCUCCAGCCAGCUAGACUAAUCUACUCUAUUUCUCAAACAUGCCACGCAUAUUCCUGCUUCAGGGCCUUGGCUCUUACCUUCCAUCUGCCUAAAAUGUUCUCACACAUUCUUCAUUUCUUCCUGUCACUAUCAUUUUCUUCAUGUAAAUAUCAAUUGCAUACUUCCUACCCUCAUUUCUGCUGCAUUUUUUCUUACACUUAUUACCAUCUAACAUAUAUUUUACUUACUUGCUUUGUUUAUUUUCUGUCUUUCCUACCAAAAUAUGGGCAUCUACUUUUAUUGAUGUUGUUCACUGCUGUAUUUCCAGUGGUUACAACAGUGCCUGGCAUGCAGAAGGUACUCCAUAAAUAUUUGAAUGAAUAUCAACAACAGCUCUGGAAGCGAUUUUUGUCCCAUGCUUCAUAUGAGGAAACAGGUCAGAGAGGUGACAAUAAUUUGUUCAGUUCGUAAGUGAAGUUGGGGUUCAAAUUCCAUUCCAGAACAACUCUAAACACUAUAUUAGUAUCAUAACACAAUAUUAUCUUCCAGAGGGACUCAGCGCUUCACAACCACAAGAGAUCUCUGCUACACUUCUGAAGUCUGUGAAACCAACCGAAAUCAACUAAACACUAGCAAUUGUCAAAUAAAUUGUAUACAUUAUCUCGUUCAUUCAUUUAGUCAACAAAUAUUGAUAAUCUACUGUGUGACAGGAUAUGUGCCAGCACUAAGAAUUCAAAGAUAACAAAAACAGACAAGGUUCCAAUCUUCCCAAACAUGAACCAAAAACCACACAGAUCAAUGGAAAAUUGCACCUAUGAUAAGUGCAAUGAGGAAGAUGUGUACAAAGGUCAGCCGAUCUACAAGUCAGGGAAGGCUUUUCUGGAGUAGGAACAUGUAAGCUGAGUUCUAAAAGGUGGGUAGGAGGGAAAAGAGGGACGUUCCAGACAGAGGGAGCAGCACGUGCAAAGGCCCUGUGGUGAGAGGGUGCAUGGUGAAUGGGAGGGAUGGAAAGAAGGCCAGUGUGUCUGGAGCCAAGGGCUUUGGUGAUUCAUGCUGCAGGGGAAGGCUGAAAGGUAGAGGCUGGACUUCACAGGGAGUUGCAGCCCAGUUAAGAUAAAGUGCCCUUUAUCCCAGAGCAAUGGGAGCCACUGAAAGCUUUGAUUUCAAUCGAGGCUUAACCAAUUUUUCUUAAGCAUCCAUCAUUUGUCAAACAAAACUUCCAAAUCCCUUAGGAAGAUAUUACUAGCCCAUUUCCUGGGAGAGGAAAUUGAUUCUUUUAAGAGUUAAGUGACAAGCCCAAGGUCACAUGGUUGGCAAGUGGCAGAACCAGAAUCUAGAAGCAGACUAGAUCAACUUUGAAGCCAAUGUUCUCUCAUCUGGUAAAUGAGAAAAGGACAGAAAUGCUGAGAAACCAGCAUUUGCCCCUCACCAGGGGCAAGAUGAGGGCAAAAAUUCCCAAUCACCUUCAACAUAUCUGCAAGAACCUGUGUUUCAUCCUUCUCUAUCCACCUGCCCUGAGGAAGGAGGCCUGUUCCUCAGCUCUCUGGGCCCUCAAGGCUGCUCUUCCAAUUCAUCUGGGCCCAGGCCAAAGAGCAGGUGCCAAAAGACAUUAACAGUCAUUGGUGUGAUUGAAAAGUGACUGAAAAGUAGAGGGUCAAAGAAUACCAACAGGUCAUAUAGUCCCAAGAAUUAUAGGAAUAGAGUGACUCAGCUCUACAUUUCACUUGGCUUUCUUAAAAAGGUAGUAUUAAUUAUUGUUAUUGUUAUUUUAUUAUUUUGGCAAAAGCUUGAGACAGUUGCAAAAGGACUGGAUUAGAGGCAGAAAGGCCUGUUUUCCUCUUUUUUGUUUUUUUAAUGAAAACUUCCCAAG